UGGGGAAUAUUGGACAAUGGGCGCAAGCCUGAUCCAGCAAUGCCGCGUGAGUGAUGAAGGCCUUAGGGUUGUAAAGCUCUUUCGCACGCGACGAUGAUGACGGUAGCGUGAGAAGAAGCCCCGGCUAACUUCGUGCCAGCAGCCGCGGUAAUACGAAGGGGGCUAGCGUUGUUCGGAAUUACUGGGCGUAAAGGGCGCGUAGGCGGCCUGCUUAGUCAGAAGUGAAAGCCCCGGGCUCAACCUGGGAAUAGCUUUUGAUACUGGCAGGCUUGAGUUCCGGAGAGGAUGGUGGAAUUCCCAGUGUAGAGGUGAAAUUCGUAGAUAUUGGGAAGAACACCGGUGGCGAAGGCGGCCAUCUGGACGGACACUGACGCUGAGGCGCGAAAAGCGUGGGGAGCAAACAGGAUUAGAUACCCUGGUAGUCCACGCCGUAAAACGAUGAAAUGCUAGAACGUCGGGGUGCAUGCACUUCGGUGUCGCCGCUAAACGCAUUAAAGCAUUCCGCCUGGGGAGUACGGCCGCAAGGUUAAAAACUUAAAAGGAAUUGACGGGGUC
rnacentral:rRNA from 1 species